rnacentral:rRNA from 1 species
CCCUUAGAUGUUCUGGGCUGCUCGCGUGCUACACUGAUAUUGCCAAUAUGUCAUUCUUAUCCGAAAUGGAUUGGGUAAUCAAGUAAUGAAAUUUCAUGCUUGGAAUCGGUAAUUGCAAUUUUAUCGUGAACGAGGAAUUCCUAGUAAGCACUAGUCAUCAGCUAAUGUUGAUUAUGUCCCUGCCCUUUGUACACACCGCCCGUCGCUACUACUGAUUGGGUGUUCAAGUGAGAUGCUUAGACCCUUGUUGCAUGGUUCAUUAUUGUGCUCCGAAAGGAAAAAGUUUCAAGCUUGAGUGUCUAGAGGAAGUAAAAGUCGUAACA